rnacentral:rRNA from 1 species
UGAGGAAUAUUUGGCAAUAGAUAAACGUCUGACCAAGCAAUACUACGUGAAGGAUGAAGGCUUUUGGGUUGUAAACUUCUUUUGUUGAUGAAGAAUUUAUAUUUUGUGACGUUAGUCAAAGAAUAAGUGCCGGCUAAUUCUGUGCCAGCAGCCGCGGUAAUACAGGAGGCACAAGCGUUGUUCAGUAUUAUUGGGCGUAAAGCGUACUUAGGCGGUUAUUGGCGAAGUUUAAUGUUAAAUUCCAAAGCUUAACUUUGGCUAAGCAUUGAAAACAACUAGACUGGUGUUCAGUAGAGGUAAGGGGAAUUUUAUGUGGAGCGAUGAAAUGCGUAGAUAUAUUAAAAGAACACCGAUAGGCGAAAGCACCUUGCUAGGCUGAUACGGACGCUGUAAGACGAGAGCUAGGGGAGCAAAUC